UACUUGAUUUGCAUCCCAU
rnacentral:misc_RNA from 1 species